AACGAACGCUGGCGGCGUGGAUAAGACAUGCAAGUCGAACGGGACAACAUCUGUAGCAAUACAGGUGUUGUUCAGUGGCGAACGGGUGCGUAACACGUGGGCAAUCUGCCGAGAAGUGGGGGAUAGCUCGCCGAAAGGCGAAUUAAUACCGCAUAUGAUCAGUGAAGACAUCUUCACGACAUCAAAGCCGGGGCAACCUGGCGCUUCUUGAUGAGCCCGCGGCCUAUCAGCUAGUUGGUGAGGUAACGGCUCACCAAGGCUAUGACGGGUAGCUGGUCUGAGAGGACGACCAGUCACACUGGAACUGAGACACGGUCCAGACACCUACGGGUGGCAGCAGUCGAGAAUUUUUCUCAAUGGGGGCAACCCUGAAGGAGCGACGCCGCGUGGAGGAUGAAGGC
rnacentral:rRNA from 1 species